CAUAUAGUUACCUGGACAAGACAGUAAAACAUCUGAUUCUGCCAACGCCCAGGACUUGGUAUUCUCAUCAAGAUGUCAUCGAACACUAUGUCCUGAAAAUCUGCGUAAUUUUUUGGUUCUUCUUUUUGUGCUUAAAUAGAAUUGAUGUAUAGCAUGUAUAAUGUGUGGCAGAUAACAGUUAGCUAAGAGCAAAUGUAAUGACGGUGAUUGAGAAGAAACGGAGUCUCACUCUGUCGGCCAGGCUGGAGUGCAGUGGCGUGAUCUCGGCUCACUGCAACCUCUGCCUCCAAGGUUCAAGCAAUUCUCCUGCCUCAGCCUCCUGAGUAGCUGGGACUACAGGCGCCUGCCACCAUGCCCAGGUUUCUUCCUAGGCUUCUUC
rnacentral:lncRNA from 1 species